UUUGUUAUUAUUAUUAUUACGACUUUUUUUUGUUCAAGGUUUUGGGGGGUUUUGGGGCCCUUAAUAUGCUCAAAAACUCUUGAAAAUUGGCACACACCUUGGAAUCUGCGGCCAUUAGGGCCGGGCAGAGACUGGUACAUGGGCGUGGCAAGGGGACUCUACAGCGCCCCCUGGAAUUUGGAGGGUCAUAUAGCACACAUACUUGCACGUACACAUAUGAAACUCGGUACACAUAUAGAACUCAUCAAGUUGAACAACUUUCGCACUCUAUGUCAUUAGCUAAUCCCAACAGGAAGUUGGUUAUUCUGGGUUUUGUCAAAAACGCAUGCUCUGGAAUUUGAUAUACUAGUCCUAGGUUUUUUACCCAAUUGCCACCAAACUCGGUCAACCUGAUCUCAAGACAUUGGGGAUGAAAAAUUGUGAGGGGAUUUUUGAUAUCUCGAACGGUUUGGCCGUGGCGAGGCGUUGAAAUUAUGGCGAGAAAUGAGAAACAGGAAAUGGCUAAUAACUACUGCACACAUUGUCUGAUUCGGAUGAAACUUCAGCGGUUUGUUCGUUGUAUGAUGCCGAUCACAUAGAUGUGACUAUUAGGAGUCAAAGUUAUAGCGCCACCAACUGGCAACAGGAAGUGUGUCUCUUUUAAAAAUGCUUU